rnacentral:rRNA from 1 species
CGGCGGACGGGUGAGUAACACGUGGGUAACCUACCUAUAAGACUGGGAUGACUUCGGGAAACCGGAGCUAAUACCGGAUAAUAUUCGAACCGCAUGGUUCGAUAGUGAAAGAUGGUUUUGCUAUCACUUAUAGAUGGACCUGCGCCGUAUUAGCUAGUUGGUAAGGUAGCGGCUUACCAAGGCGACGAUACGUAGCCGACCUGAGAGGGUGAUCGGCCACACUGGAACUGAGACACGGUCCAGACUCCUACGGGAGGCAGCAGCG